rnacentral:rRNA from 1 species
GUGGAUUAGAUACCCUGGUAGUCCACGCUGUAAACGAUGAAUGCUAGAUGUCGGGCUGAUAGGUUCGGUAUCGGAGCUAACGUGGUAAGCAUUCCGCCUGGGGAGUACGGUCGCAAGAUUAAAACUCAAAGGAAUUGACGGGGGCCCGCACAAGCGGUGGAGUAUGUGGUUUAAUGCGACGCAACGCGCAGAACCUUACCAACCUUUGACAUGGGUAUCGAGGAAUUUGGAGACAGAUUUCAUCAUUUAGUUGGAUACCACACAGGUGCUGCAUGGUUGUCGACAACU